UUACUCGGGUUUCUCUUCAUAACGCACAAGUCUUUCGCCUUUUACUAAAGACUUCCGUGGAGAGGAACACCAAUGAGUUGAAGAUAGAAGAGAGAAAAUGCAUUGUUUUGUACUUUGCUUCUUUGCACAUU
rnacentral:snRNA from 1 species